rnacentral:sRNA from 1 species
UUGCGCCUGUGGCGGAUCAGGCACGAUCAAGUGAAAGGCUUCGCAGGCAGCCAGGUCGUGUACGGUCUAGUACAUCCAAGAAUUUUCUUGGAUUUAAUGUCUUCU